UACCAGCACCCCGAGUGGUCGGGACGAUUAUUGGGCCUAAAGCAUCCGUAGCCGGCCUUACAAGUCCUCCGUUAAAUCCAGCUGCUUAACAGAUGGGCUGCGGAGGAUACUAUAAGACUAGGAGGCAGGAGAGGCAAGCGGUACUCAGUGGGUAGGGGUAAAAUCCGUUGAUCCAUUGAAGACCACCAGUGGCGAAGGCGGCUUGCCAGAAUGCGCUCGACGGCGAGGGAUGAAAGCUGGGGGAGCAAACCGG
rnacentral:rRNA from 1 species